rnacentral:tRNA from 1 species
GCCCGGAUGGUGAAAUCGGUAGACACAGCAGACUUAAAAUUUGCCGGCCUAUGGGCCAUGCGGGUUCGAGUCCCGCUCCGGGCA